GAUGAGCGCUGGCGGCGUGCCUAAUACAUGCAAGUCGAGCGAAUGGAUUAAGAGCUUGCUCUUAUGAAGUUAGCGGCGGACGGGUGAGUAACACGUGGGUAACCUGCCCAUAAGACUGGGAUAACUCCGGGAAACCGGGGCUAAUACCGGAUAACAUUUUGAACCGCAUGGUUCGAAAUUGAAAGGCGGCUUCGGCUGUCACUUAUGGAUGGACCCGCGUCGAAUUAGCUAGUUGGUGAGGUAACGGCUCACCAAGGCAACGAUGCGUAGCCGACCUGAGAGGGUGAUCGGCCACACUGGGACUGAGACACGGCCCAGACUCCCACGGGAGGCAGCAGUAGGGAAUCUUCCGCAAUGGACGAAAGUCUGACGGAGCAACGCCGCGUGAGUGAUGAAGGCUUUCGGGUCGUAAAACUCUGUUGUUAGGGAAGAACAAGUGCUAGUUGAAUAAGCUGGCACCUUGACGGUACCUAACCAGAAAGCCACGGCUAACUACGUGCCAGCCGCCGCCGUAA
rnacentral:rRNA from 1 species